rnacentral:rRNA from 1 species
AGCGAACGCUGGCGGCAGGCCUAACACAUGCAAGUCGAACGAAGUCUUCGGACUUAGUGGCGGACGGGUGAGUAACACGUGUGAACGUGCCUUUAGGUUCGGAAUAACUCAGGGAAACUUGUGCUAAUACCGAAUGUGCCCUUCGGGGGAAAGAUUUAUCGCCUUUAGAGCGGCCCGCGUCUGAUUAGGUAGUUGGUGAGGUAAAGGCUCACCAAGGCUACGGUCAGUAGCUGGUCUGAGAGGAUGACCAGCCACAUUGGGACUGAGACAAGGCCGAACCUCCUACGGGAGGCAGCAGUGCUGAAUCUUGCACGAUGGGCGAAAGCCUGACGCAGCCAUGCCGCGUGGAUGAUGAAGGUCUUAGGAUUGUAAAAUCCUUUCACCGGUGGAGAUGAUGACGGUAGCCGGAGAAGAAGCCCCGGCUAACUUCGUGCCAGCCGCCGCGGUAAGAC